rnacentral:rRNA from 1 species
GACGAACGCUGGCGGCGUGCUUAACACAUGCAAGUCGCACGGAGUGGCGAACGGGUGAGUCACACGUGGGUGAUCUGCCUUGCACUUCGGGAUAAUCUUGGGAAACUGGGUCUAAUACCGGAUAGUGCAAGAUGAGCUCGCGGCCUAUCAGCUUGUUGGUGGGGUAAUGGCCUACCAAGGCGUCGACGGGUAGCCGGCCUGAGAGGGUGUACGGCCACAGUGGGACUGAGAGACGGCCCAGACUCAGACGGGAGGCAGCAGUGGGGAAUAUUGCACAAUGGGCGGAAGCCGGAUGCAGCGACGCCGCGUGGGGGAGGAAGGCCGGCGGGUUGUAAACUCCUUUCGACAGGGACGCGGUACCUGUAUAAGAAGCACCGGCUAACUACGUGCCAGCAGCCGCGGUAAUUC